rnacentral:rRNA from 1 species
ACCCGCUGAACUUAAGCAUAUCAAUAAGCGGAGGAAAAGAAACCAACAGGGAUUGCCCUAGUAACGGCGAGUGAAGCGGCAACAGCUCAAAUUUGAAAUCUGGCGUCUUUGGCGUCCGAGUUGUAAUUUGCAGAGGGCGCUUUGGCAUUGGCAGCGGUCCAAGUUCCUUGGAACAGGACGUCACAGAGGGUGAGAAUCCCGUACGUGGUCGCUAGCCUUUACCGUGUAAAGCCCCUUCGACGAGUCGAGUUGUUUGGGAAUGCAGCUCUAAAUGGGAGGUAAAUUUCUUCUAAAGCUAAAUACUGGCCAGAGACCGAUAGCGCACAAGUAGAGUGAUCGAAAGAUGGAAAGCACUUUGGAAAGAGAGUUAAAAAGCACGUGAAAUUGUUGAAAGGGAAGCGCUUGCAGCCAGACUUGCCUGUAGUUGCUCAUCCGGGUUUUUACCCGGUGCACUCUUCUAUAGGCAGGCCAGCAUCAGUUUGGGCGGUUGGAUAAAGGUCUCUGUCAUGUACCUCUCUUCGGGGAGAACUUAUAGGGGAGACGACAUGCAACCAGCCCGGACUGAGGUCCGCGCAUCUGCUAGGAUGCUGGCGUAAUGGCUGU